CUCCCAGUCGCUGACCUACCGUGGUUAGCUGCCUCCUUGCGGUUAGCGCACUACCUUCGGGUAAAACCAACUCCCAUGGUGUGACGGGCGGUGUGUACAAAGCCCGGGAACGUAUUCACCGCGGCAUGCUGAUCCGCGAUUACUAGCGAUUCCAACUUCAUGCACUCGAGUUGCAGAGUGCAAUCCGAACUGAGAUGGCUUUUGGAGAUUAGCUCGACAUCGCUGUCUCGCUGCCCACUGUCACCACCAUUGUAGCACGUGUGUNGCCCACCCCGUAAGGGCCAUGANGACUUGACGUCAUCCCCACCUUCCUCUCGGCUUAUCACCGGCAGUCCCCUUAGAAUGCCCAACUGAAUGCUGGCAACUAANGGCGAAGGUUGCGCUCGUUGCGGGACUUAACCCANCAUCUCACGACACGAACUGACGACAGCCAUGCANCACCUGU
rnacentral:rRNA from 1 species